rnacentral:rRNA from 1 species
UCUGGUGAUGAUGGCAAAGAGGUCACACCCGUUCCCAUACCGAACACGGAAGUUAAGCUCUUUAGCGCCGAUGGUAGUUGGGGGUUUCCCCCUGUGAGAGUAGGACGUUGCCAGGC